GACGAAGGGGGCUAGCGUUGUUCGGAAUUACUGGGCGUAAAGCGCGUGUAGGCGGUUGUCCAAGUUGGAUGUGAAAGCCUUGAGCUUAACUCAAGAAAUGCAUUCAGGACUGGAUGACUAGAGGACCGGAGAGGAUAGUGGAAUUCCCAGUGUAGUGGUGAAAUACGUAGAGAUUGGGAAGAACACCAGUGGCGAAGGCGGCUAUCUGGACGGUUUCUGACGCUAAGACGCGAAAGCGUGGGGAGCAAACAAG
rnacentral:rRNA from 1 species